UACAGAGGGUGCGAGCGUUAAUCGGAAUUACUGGGCGUAAAGCGUGCGUAGACGGUUAUUUAAGUCGGGUGUGAAAGCCCCGGGCUCAACCUGGGAAUUGCAUUCGAGACUGAAUAGCUAGGGUACGGUAGAGGGAAGUGGAAUUUCCGGUGUAGCGGUGAAAUGCGUAGAUAUCUGGAGGAACACCGGUGGCGAAGGCGGCUUUCUGGACAAAUACCGACGCUGAGGCACGAAAGCUAGGGGAGCAAACAGG
rnacentral:rRNA from 1 species